AGAGAUUUGGGGGUAUAUUGGCAAGGUCUGUAGCAAGGUAAAGCGGGCAGACAGGCCAGCAUACACAGUGAAAUUCCACGAUGGGGCUGUGGACUUCUAUUUAGAAGACCAUCCCAAAUUUACCCAGG
rnacentral:snRNA from 1 species